GGCUCUGUAGCUCAGCUGGUUAGAGCACGCGACUCAUAAUCGCGGUGUCACUAGUUCAAGUCUAGUCAGAGCCA
rnacentral:tRNA from 1 species